ACCUACGGGACGCAGCAGUGGGGAAUAUUGGGCAAUGGGCGCAAGCCUGACCCAGCAACGCCGCGUGAAGGAAGAAGGCUUUCGGGUUGUAAACUUCUUUUAUGAGGGACGAAACAAAUGACGGUACCUCAUGAAUAAGCCACGGCUAACUACGUGCCAGCAGCCGCGGUAAUACGUAGGUGGCAAGCGUUAUCCGGAUUUACUGGGCGUAAAGGGCGCGUAGGCGGUUUAAUAAGUCAGUGGUGAAAACUGAGGGCUCAACCCUCAGCCUGCCACUGAUACUGUUAGACUUGAGUAUGGAAGAG
rnacentral:rRNA from 1 species